rnacentral:rRNA from 1 species
AGUGAACGCUGGCGGUAGGCCUAACACAUGCAAGUCGAACGGCAGCACAGUAAGAGCUUGCUCUUACGGGUGGCGAGUGGCGGACGGGUGAGGAAUACAUCGGAAUCUACUUUUUCGUGGGGGAUAACGUGGGGAAACUUACGCUAAUACCGCAUACGACCUACGGGUGAAAGCAGGGGAUCUUCGGACCUUGCGCGAUUGAAUGAGCCGAUGUCGGAUUAGCUAGUUGGCGGGGUAAAGGCCCACCAAGGCGACGAUCCGUAGCUGGUCUGAGAGGAUGAUCAGCCACACUGGAACUGAGACACGGUCCAGACUCCUACGGGAGGCAGCAGUGGGGAAUAUUGGACAGUGGGCGCAAGCCUGAUCCAGCCAUACCGCGUGGGUGAAGAAGGCCUUCGGGUUGUAAAGCCCUUUUGUUGGGAAAGAAAAGCAGCAGGUUAAUACCCCGCUGUUCUGACGGUACCCAAAGAAUAAGCACCGGCUAACUUC